AGUGAACGCUGGCGGUAGGCCUAACACAUGCAAGUCGAACGGCAGCACAGUAAGAGCUUGCUCUUACGGGUGGCGAGUGGCGGACGGGUGAGGAAUACAUCGGAAUCUACUUUUUCGUGGGGGUUAACGUAGGGAAACUUACGCUAAUACCGCAUACGACCUACGGGUGAAAGCAGGGGAUCUUCGGACCUUGCGCGAUUGAAUGAGCCGAUGUCGGAUUAGCUAGUUGGCGGAGUAAAGGCCCACCAAGGCGACGAUCCGUAGCUGGUCUGAGAGGAUGAUCAGCCACACUGGAACUGAGACACGGUCCAGACUACUAAGGGAGGCAGCAGUGGGGAAUAUUGGACAAUGGGCGCAAGCCUGAUCCAGCCAUACCGAGUGGGUGAAGAAGGCCUUCGGGUUGUAAAGCCCUUUUGUUGGGAAAGAAAAGCAGCAGGUUAAUACCCCGCUGUUCUGACGGUACCCAAAGAAUAAGCACCGGCUAACUUCGUG
rnacentral:rRNA from 1 species